rnacentral:rRNA from 1 species
AUUGAACGCUGGCGGCAUGCUUUACACAUGCAAGUCGAACGGCAGCGGGUCCUUCGGGAUGCCGGCGAGUGGCGAACGGGUGAGUAAUGCAUCGGAACGUACCGUGUAAUGGGGGAUAACGUAGCGAAAGUUACGCUAAUACCGCAUACGCCCUGAGGGGGAAAGCGGGGGAUCGCAAGACCUCGCGUUAUACGAGCGGCCGAUGUCGGAUUAGCUAGUUGGUGGGGUAAAGCCCACCAAGGCGACGAUCCGUAGCGGGUCUGAGAGGAUGAUCCGCCACACUGGGACUGAGACACGGCCCAGACUCCUACGGGAGGCAGCAGUGGGGAAUUUUGGACAAUGGGGGCAACCCUGAUCCAGCCAUGCCGCGUGCGGGAAGAAGGCC